UAGCUGUGUAUCCGAGUCUCCUGGGGCACUUUUUAAAACAAUGCAGAUUCCUUGGAUGUAGUAUAGACUCAGUCAAUUUAAAUCUCUAAGAGGGCGAUCAGGACAUAUGUUUUAUCUUCUCUUUUUUUUUUUUAAGUUUCACAGAGGAUUGAAUAUACAGUUAGGAUUAAGAAUCACUGAGAUGAAUGAUUCUAUGCCACUUACAAUAGACAUAAGUAAGGCUAUUAUUAAACCAACUCAUAUAAAUUAUCAUCCAUCCAAGUCUUCAUUUUGCCUAUGUAAGAUAAUUUUUAAUGAUGUCUAAAUGUUUAGAUUGUUUUAAAUUCAGAAAUCAGGGAAAAAUAAUAACAAAUAAUUUUUUAGUCGUUGUAACACUUUAGUGAUCCCCUUCAAAUUGUCAAGGAAGAAGAAAGUUAACAUUGGUGUUGAGACACCAAUGAAGAAAUUAAUGGCUUGAAAAUAAAAUUGGAGGAAAUUAUUAAACUUAUCCUUAAAACUAAGUUGUAUAGUAGCAACUUAACUGCCACAGUAACAAUGUGACUCUCGUAGG
rnacentral:antisense_RNA from 1 species